rnacentral:misc_RNA from 1 species
GCAGAAGGGUCAUUAGUGAAGAUUUGGGCAGGCCAUACGGACGCCAAAAAGUGUCCCUGGCCGCCUACACCCACUAUACAUCCACAAACCCGUGUGCACUGUCUUGGAGAAAGGCUUCAGAGAAGUUUUUUGUGGCCUCUCUUGGGGUCUUUCUUCGCUACAAACUCGAAUGGUUAGUAUGAACGUGGAACUUGGUUGGACCGUCACUGGCCAACAAACUAUACACAACUUUCGACAACGGAUCUCUUGGUUCUCCCA